AGGGUGUAAACGCUGCGGGCUUGGUGUUGGGGGUCCUUUGAGGGCGCCCAGUGCCGGAGAGAAGUUGUUAAGCCUGCUGCUUGGGGAGUACGUCCGCAAGGAUGAAACUUAAAGGAAUUGGCGGGGGAGCACCGCAACGGGAGGAGCGUGCGGUUCAAUUGGAUUCAACGCCGGACAACUCACCAGGAGCGACGGUUACAUGAAGGCCAGGCUGAUGACCUUGCCUGAUUUUCCGAGAAGAGGAGGUGCAUGGCGUGUGACUGU
rnacentral:rRNA from 1 species